rnacentral:lncRNA from 1 species
AGGCUCGGGCGAGUUCAAACAGCUUCCUGCGCGUGGCUGGGGCAGAGAGACUCGUGAGCCCUUCAUGCUCCAGAGAGCCAGAGCAUCAGAUGGCUUCCCUCCAGGUUUGGGGGCAGCCAGGGCAGCACCAGGCCCCUUGGGUGGGGACUGGGAAGAGGAAAGUGACAGGAAUUGCAGACACCAGUGCCACCUAGGGAGCAAGUGCGCCAUCCCAGGUCGGCCUCCAGGGGCAGCACAGGCCACCACUAGUCAAGUACACGGCAGCCUGCCUCCAGACCAUGAUCCGGGUAUUCCUUCCCUAGAGACGGACAACCGCGGCUCUUGGCUUUCUUUCCCGCUGCUGCUGCCACGGCCUUCCCGCCCCUUCCCAGCCACCUCCACAGUUGGUCCUAGGAUUUCCAUGAGUCAUCGGAAAUUUUUCCCUGAAAUAAAACCUUGAACGGAUCCAGCCUCAUUCCCACUGGUUAUGGGUCUAUGAGACUGGAAAGGAGAGGAUGGCAAAAAAAAAAAAAAAAAA